AUUAGUCAUUACUCUCCGCUGUAAACAAACAGCGUCAUCAGCUUACGUGUGAGUGUGCAACAGAGGAAGUUUGUGCUCCUGACAGUCUUGAACGAACUGAGAAAAGUUUGACUAGGCUGCGGAUUAAAGGACAAAAGCUCUCUACUGAGGAACAAGAGUCUUGGACGGCCUGAGGGUGAGUACAUUUUCAGUUUUGGGCUUCUGGAUCUGAAUUCAUAAAUCAGCACAGCAACCGCAGCCACGCCAACCAGAGCAGAGAUAACCAAUCGGAUCACAGCUUCAGUAAAACCACAGCUGCAGAUAUAGACUUCUGAGAAAAGAAAAGAACGAUGUUGAUAUGAUUAAUUCGUUUUGUGGAAAAACAUAGUGCCACUGCUGUAAGGCUGGAAGAACCUCAGAUCUUUGAUCUUUGUACUUUGAUCUCCUGAGAUACGGCAAUACAAACAAAAAGCAUGUGUUUCCAGAUCUCACUGAGAGAAGACGCGUAGAAGCUUCUUUCUCACCUAUACAUUUGUUCUUUUUCACCCACUUCCUUCUCUUUACCAUCCUUCCCUUCACUCAGAAUGGUCAACAGCAUAAUCACUGUAAAAAAGUCCCGUAAAAAAAUGGUAA